rnacentral:rRNA from 1 species
UACGGGGGGGGCAAGCGUUGUUCGGAAUUACUGGGCGUAAAGGGCUCGUAGGCGGCCAACUAAGUCAGACGUGAAAUCCCUCGGCUUAACCGGGGAACUGCAUCUGAUACUGGAUGGCUUGAGUUCGGGAGAGGGAUGUGGAAUUCCAGGUGUAGCGGUGAAAUGCGUAGAUAUCUGGAGGAACACCGGUGGCGAAGGCGGCAUCCUGGACCGACACUGACGCUGAGGAGCGAAAAGCGUGGGGGAGCA